rnacentral:rRNA from 1 species
CAUUUUCUGGCGUUCCKCAUUGUAAUCUCAAGAAACGUUUAUCCGCUGCGGACCAGGUCGAAGUCUCCUGGAAAGGAGCAUCAUGGAGGGUGAGAAUCCCGUGUGUGACCUGGAGCCACCGCAGUACUGCGAUGCGUUUUUUCUCCGAGUCGAGUUGUUUGAGAAUGCAGCUCAAAAUGGGUGGUAAAUGCCAUCUAAGGCUAAAUACAGGGGAGAAACCGAUAGCGUACAAGUACCGUGAGGGAAAGAUGCAAAGAACUUUGGAAAGAGAGUUAAACAGUAUGUGAAAUUGCCAGAAGGGAAGGGUAGGAAGUCAGAGAUACGGGGAAGCAGGUUCAUCCGGAUGUUUGUAGUGGGCAGACGGAGCAGGCUUGUGUGAUCUGUAGGUCAACGUCGGUUCUCAUGUCGCGGGAAAGCCGGAGCUGGGGAACGUAGCAACUCUUCCGGGAGCUGUGAUUAUAGACCUGCUCGUGUGGACCGGUGACGGGAACCGUGGCUUAGCAGCAUGAUGCUUCGAAGCGGCUGUCCUCUCGGGGGCGGCGGUGGCUGUUGUGUUAGGUCUUCGGACUCUAUUCAUGUUGAAGGCGUUGGCUUAAUGGCCGUCUACCACCCGUCUUGAAACACGGACCAAGGAGUCUAACAUGUCGGCAAGUCUUUGGGCCGCAAACCCGUAGGGCGCAACGAAAGUGAUAACAGGUGGGAACCCCGUGAGAAGGGUGCACCAUCGGCCACGUCCUGAAAAACGGCUCUGUAUUCAGUUACGGGGGCGAGCUUGGAUGUGCGCAAGAGCCGACGUGUUGGGACCCGAAAGAUGGUGAACUAUGCCUGGAUAGGGUGAAGCCAGAGGAAACUCUGGUGGAAGCUCGUAGCGAUUCUGACGUGCAAAUCGAUCGUCGAAUCUGGGUAUAGGGGCGAAAGACUAAUCGAACCAUCUAGUAGCUGGUUCCUGCCGAAGUUUCCCUCAGGAUAGCAGAAACUCGAAACUCAGUUUUAUGAGGUAAAGCGAAUGAUUAGAGGCCUUGGGGAAGCA